AGAGUUUGAUCCUGGCUCAGAACGAACGCUGGCGGCGCGCCUAAUACAUGCAAGUCGAGCGAGAAGACGUAGCAAUACGUUUGUAAAGCGGCGAACGGGUGAGGAAUACAUGGGUAACCUACCCUCGAGUGGGGAAUAACUAGCCGAAAGGUUAGCUAAUACCGCAUACGACUCCUGGUCUGCGGAUCGGGAGGGAAAGCGAUACCGUGGGUAUCGCGCUCUUGGAUGGGCUCAUGUCCUAUCAGCUUGUUGGUGAGGUAAUGGCUCACCAAGGCUUCGGCGGGUAGCUGGUCUGAGAGGACGAUCAGCCACACUGGCACUGCGACACGGGCCAGACUCCUACGGGAGGCAGCAGUAAGGAAUAUUGCGCAAUGGGCGACAGCCUGACGCAGCGACGCCGCGUGGGGGAUGAAGGUCUUCGGAUUGUAAACCCCUUUCGGCAGGGAAGAUGGAACGGGUAACCGUUCGGACGGUACCUGCAGAAGCAGCCACGGCUAACUUCGUGCCAGCAGCCGCGGUAAUACGAAGGUGGCAAGCGUUGUUCGGAUUUACUGGGCGUACAGGGAGCGUAGGCGGUUGGGUAAGCCCUCCGUGAAAUCUCCGGGCCUAACCCGGAAAGUGCGGAGGGGACUGCUCGGCUAGAGGAUGGGAGAGGAGCGCGGAAUUCCCGGUGUAGCGGUGAAAUGCGUAGAGAUCGGGAGGAAGGCCGGUGGCGAAGGCGGCGCUCUGGAACAUUUCUGACGCUGAGGCUCGAAAGCGUGGGGAGCAAACAGGAUUAGAUACCCUGGUAGUCCACGCCUUAAACGAUGGAUACUAAGUGUCGGCGGGUUACCGCCGGUGCCGCAGCUAACGCAUUAAGUAUCCCGCCUGGGAAGUACGGCCGCAAGGUUGAAACUCAAAGGAAUUGACGG
rnacentral:rRNA from 1 species